UGAGUACGAGAUGCUACGGCAUCGAAGCAGUCUAUGUCAUACUUCCAAGAAAAGCUUGCACUGUCAGAAACAGAUAAUGCCUGUACCAUAACCGACACAGGUGGGUAGGUAGAGUAUACUAAGGGGCGCGAGAUAACUCUCUCUAAGGAACUCGGCAAAAUGACUCCGUAACUUCGGGAGAAGGAGUGCCUUAUUUUUAAGGUUGCAACAACAAGAUCCAAGCAACUGUUUACCAAAAACACAGGUCUCCGCUAAGUCGUAAGACGGUGUAUGGGGGCUGACGCCUGCCCAGUGCCAGAAGGUUAAAGAAGUCGGUUAGCAUUCGCGAAGCUGGUAACUGAAGCCCUGGUGAACGGCGGCCGUAACAAUAACGGUCCUAAGGUAGCGAAAUUCCUUGUCGGGUAAGUUCCGACCCGCACGAAAGGCGUAAUGAUUUGGAUACUGUCUCGGAGAGGGGCUCGGUGAAAUAGACUUGUCUGUGAAGAUGCGGACUACCUGCACCUGGACAGAAAGACCCUAUGAAGCUUUACUGUAACUUGAAAUUGAAAUUGGACUUUAUUUGCGCAGUAUAGGUGGGAGGCGUUGAAAAUAUUCUUGCGGGAAUAUUGGAGCCAUCAGUGAGAUACCACUCUUGUAAUGUUAGAUUUCUAACUUUAUAUCAUUAUCUGGUUAAAGAACAGUUUCAGGCGGGCAGUUUGACUGGGGCGGUCGCCUCCCAAAUGGUAACGGAGGCGCACAAAGUUUUCCUCUGAACGGGUAGAAGUCGUAUCUAGAGUGUAAAGGCAUAAGGAAGCUUGACUGUGAGACCUACAAGUCGAGCAGGGACGAAAGUCGGUCUUAGUGAUCUGACGGUGCUGAGUGGAAAGGCCGUCACUCAACGGAUAAAAGUUACUCUAAGGAUAACAGGCUGAUCUCCCCCAAGAGUUCACAUCGACGGGGAGGUUUGGCACCUCGAUGUCGGCUCAUCGCAUCCUGGGGCGGUAGUACGUCCCAAGGGUUGGGCUGUUCGCCCAUGAAAGCGGUACGCGAGCUGGGUUCAGAACGUCGUGAGACAGUUCGGUCCAUAUCCGGUGUAGGCGUUAGAAUAUUGAGAGGAGCCUUCUUUAGUACGAGAGGACCGAGAAGGACAUACCUCUGGUGUACCAGUUAUCGUGCCAACGGUAAACGCUGGGUAGCUAUGUAUGGAGUGGAUAACCGCUGAAAGCAUCUAAGUGGGAAGCCCACCUCAAGAUAAGUAUUCUCAUG
rnacentral:rRNA from 1 species